rnacentral:rRNA from 1 species
AUUGAACGCUGGCGGCAUGCUUUACACAUGCAAGUCGAACGGUAACAGGCUUUCGGGUGCUGACGAGUGGCGGACGGGCGAGUAAUGCAUCGGAACGUACCCAGCGGUGGGGGAUAAGGCAGCGAAAGCUGUGCUAAUACAGCAUGUGAUCGGAGGAUGAAAGCGGGGGACGGAGCAGCAAUGUUUGGCCUCGCGCCUUUGGACCCGCCGAUGUCGGAUUGGCUAGUUGGUGGGGUAAAGGCCUACCCAGGCGAGGAUACGUAGCUGGUGUGGGGGGCCGACCAGCGGCAUGGGAAGGUGGACACGGACCAUACUCCUACGGGAGGCAGCAGUGGGGAAUUGUGGACAAUGGGGGCAAGCCUGAUCCAGUAAUGCCGCGUGUGAGAAGAAGGCGUUCGGGUUGUAAAGCGCGUUUGGCAGGAACGAAACGGUGUCGGCUAAUACCGGGCGUGAAUGACGGUACCUGGAGAAUAAGCACCGGCUAACUACGUG